UUCCGAUCCCUCCGGUCACUCCACUUGAUGACCGACGGGGACGAACCAAAGGAGGAUCAACCACCCGAGCGCUCUCGGUGCGGCAGUGUGGAGACCUGCCGUAAGGCACGGGGAAUAUCGCUUUCCCCGCUGCGAGACCGGCGAUGCAGAGGCAGACCGGUCAGAAGCGAUAGUAAUGGCU
ncrna:unclassified sequences malK-I RNA